AGAGUGAACGCUGGCGGCAGGCCUAACACAUGCAAGUCGAACGGCAGCACAGCAGUAGCAAUACUGUGGGUGGCGAGUGGCGGACGGGUGAGGAAUACAUCGGAAUCUACCUUGUCGUGGGGGAUAACGUAGGGAAACUUACGCUAAUACCGCAUACGAACUAUGGUUGAAAGCGGCGGACCGCAAGGCGUCGCGCGAUUGGAUGAGCCGAUGUCCGAUUAGCUAGUUGGCGGGUAAAGGCCCACCAAGGCGACGAUCGGUAGCUGGUCUGAGAGGAUGAUCAGCCGCACUGGAACUGAGACACGGUCCAGACUCCUACGGGAGGCAGCAGUGGGGAAUAUUGGACAAUGGGGGCAACCCUGAUCCAGCCAUGCCGCGUGUGUGAAGAAGGCCUUCGGUUGUAAAGCACUUUGUUGGGAAGAAAGCACUGGUAAUAACCUUGUGUCAUGACGGUACCCAAAGAAUAAGCACCGGCUAACUUCGUGCCAGCAGCCG
rnacentral:rRNA from 1 species